rnacentral:piRNA from 1 species
UAUAUAAAUUGAAUGCUGAUGGAUGCUCAC